GCCCGAAUAGCUCAGUUGGUAGAGCAUCAGAUUUUUCAUCUGAAGUUCCAGCGUUCCUGUUCCUGCU
rnacentral:tRNA from 1 species